ensembl:lncRNA
GUAAUAUCAAGUCCCCCUCUAAACCAUGACCCUCAGUGCCACAGCUGCACAGAGCUGUAGCCCUCUCAUGCAGAUGAAACUCUGCUCCAGUAGAUCCCACUGCAUUUCCUUUACCCUCCUCACUGUGAUUGCAAGCAGAAGAGGUGAUGGUGAGGCAGCAUAGAGUUGGAUCCCAGAGGCCUCCCUUGAUUAAAUCAUGGAAAAUCAUGCUUUGAAAAGCAAACUCCACUGCUACCCAUAAAAGAUGCAGCAAAAACUCAACUACACAGCACUGGCUGAAGCUGCCAUGGAUCUGCCCGAUGCCUGCAGGUCUCCAAGGAGCAAAAAGUCAGACCUACUCAUGAUACUCAAAUGUAAGUCAUCACAUCAUCAUUGCUGCCGAGGAACAGGACCAACUCCAUGCACUUUGUUUUUCAAGCAGAUUUACUCAGCUGAUGCACAGAAAGCUUUAUGUCCAGGUUUUACUGCAGCUAAAACACUAUUAGGUGAAUAUGGGAUUCUGUAUUGGAUUUCAGGACCAACACUUCCAUACAGAGUUUUCAUUCAUUGAUUUCAGAUGCCUGCACUGAGAUUGCCAGGCUUGAAUGUUUAGAAGGACUGAAUUUUAGUAAUUACCUGUUAUUUUCAAUAAAAUCUAUCCCAAACAUGCCUGAAGCUUCAGUGCCAAGUUGAAUACUUCUAAUUAAGGCAAAGUGUUUUAAACAUGUCUGCUUUCCUGUUAGUACUGCCUCACUUCCAAUGCAUGCCUCCAAUUGUUCUAAGUUUUACAGAUACUAGGCAUAUGCUGAAAAAUCCUAAGAACGUUUCACUAAACAUUGCACAUUUUAAUUAAAUAAAAUUUGAUUGCUGGUCAGUUUAAUUUAUUUUUAAAAGAAAAAAAUAAGACUUAUUUGAGCCUCAAAACUUCAGGCACAAGUCUUGAACUUAUCAUCUAUUUUAGAAGUUUGUACUUUUUGCCUAUGGCAUACCUCAUUUUGACAUGUCCAUCAUUUUUCAAAUGGAUGUGUGUUGCUAUCCAAAACCCAUUACUUGUGCUAUGAAUUGAAUAACGUUCUAUUAUUUACUUCUGGCAUAGUAUAAUCACACACAUGCAUCUUUGCUGGCUUUGUAACUGCCUUUCACUUCCCAAUGAAGGAGCCUGAAUAUAUUAACUUAACAUUUUAAUGAAUUGGUAACAGUAAUGGGUGCUUAGAGUAUAGAUUGCUUUUGUAAAAUGCUACUGUAUUGAGAAGUGCCUUGAAGUGUUGGCCAACGUUUACCAGGCAGUUAAGAAAGCAUGAUUUAUUUUGGACUAGUUUUAUUAGGCAGUUAUUGAUAGCUAUAUAAUGAAUGAUCUGUAUGCAAGGAAAAGCAUUCGAUUGCUUCUUUCAAACUAUUCUUGACAUGUAGCGCAGCCAAAAUAAACAACCUCCUUUCAGAGACUGCUUAAAUCACAGAAGAAACCCCUACCAGCACUCAAUGAAGGUUCUUUUUUUUUCCCCUCUUAAGGCAAUUAUUGUUCAGGCAUAUUAAAAAAUUCUGGAUAUUCUUCACUCAAAUGUCCGUGACUCAAAAUUAUUCUGCACAUGUUGUGAAGGGGAUGACAUCUCUUCCUCUUUAUUCUUUUCAUGUGAGUGUAGCACACUGUAGCAAGAUAAAACUUACACAAACACACUCUCUUCAUACAAAGACUGCAGUGGUUCAAAUUGCAAUGAAUCUACAUUUUUGUUUCUAGCAGUGGUAAUCCGCCAUCCUAUGUUUCCACACUGUUCAAAGCCAAAGUAAAACUAUAUCUGAGACUGAAUUUUAAUUAAAAGCUAGUUAGAAAGUGAUUUUAAUGUCAACAAAUGCAAAAAAAAAAAAAAAAAAAAG